UACGAAGGGGGCUAGCGUUGUUCGGAAUUACUGGGCGUAAAGCGUGCGCAGGCGGCUUCUCAAGUCAGUGGUGAAAGCCCGGAGCUCAACUCCGGAAUUGCCAUUGAAACUGUGGAGCUUGAGGACGAGAGAGGUGAGUGGAAUUCCCAGUGUAGAGGUGAAAUUCGUAGAUAUUGGGAAGAACACCGGUGGCGAAGGCGGCUCACUGGCUCGUCUCUGACGCUCAGGCACGAUAGCGUGGGGAUCAAACAGG
rnacentral:rRNA from 1 species